UACGAAGGGGGCUAGCGUUGUUCGGAAUCACUGGGCGUAAAGCGCACGUAGGCGGAUCUUUAAGUCAGGGGUGAAAUCCCGAGGCUCAACCUCGGAACUGCCUUUGAUACUGGGGAUCUCGAGUCCGGGAGAGGUGGGUGGAACUGCGAGUGUAGAGGUGAAAUUCGUAGAUAUUCGCAAGAACACCAGUGGCGAAGGCGGCUCACUGGCCCGGUACUGACGCUGAGGUGCGAAAGCGUGGGGAGCAAACAGG
rnacentral:rRNA from 1 species